AUGGAGGGGGAUAACUACUGGAAACGGUAGCUAAUACCGCAUAACGUCGCAAGACCAAAGAGGGGGACCUUCGGGCCUCUUGCCAUCGGAUGUGCCCAGAUGGGAUUAGCUUGUUGGUGGGGUAACGGCUCACCAAGGCGACGAUCCCUAGCUGGUCUGAGAGGAUGACCAGCCACACUGGAACUGAGACACGGUCCAGACUCCUACGGGAGGCAGCAGUGGGGAAUAUUGCACAAUGGGCGCAAG
rnacentral:rRNA from 1 species